CGCACCCACCCUCUCACCCCCCCCCCCCCCCCUCAUCACAAGACAUGAGGGAGGGACGGAGGGAGGGAGGGAGGGAGGGACGGUGAUCGACCGAGGAGGUCAGGCGACGGCCAUGGCACGUCCAGAUGCGCCAGCGACUUCGUCGUCGAGCUGCGCCGCGCCGACCGGGAGAGUAGGAGUGAGGGGGACGGCCGCCUUCUCUCUCCGAACGCCGUGGCCCGCCUCCUCCUCUGCUCGAGCUGCAGCCAGCGACCACGGCACCUGACCCCACCUCUGUCUCCUUCUCCACAACCACCAGCCAUGGAAGGUCUCUUCUUCGUCAAGACCACCGUGUGCAUCUUCCCGGCACGCCGCUCAAUGUGCAUCUUCACGGCGCGCCGCUGCUCUGACGCCAUGGAGCGCCCCCAAUCUCCCUCUCUCUCAUGCUCUGGCUGUCAAGGCCGUCCAGCCGUGGUUUUCAAGGGGUUUUGUUUAGGACAGCCACGAAGCACAAAGAACAAACAUGCUAUUUAAGCAAGAGGGUUUUCGUGGGGUUUUUGUUUAGGACAGCCAUGGAGCAGAAACAACAAACAUGUUACUUCAGCAAGAGGGAGAGUAAUGAUCCUGAUGAUACUCUUACCAUUUUGUUACCAAAAUGUGUGUCCUGUCAGUGCUUGCUGGAUGCUGCCUAGUCCUACUGGGUACUAUAGCUAAUUCUUUGCGUAUCUUCACAACUUUCAAGAGCUCUUUAGUCCUGCAAAAACAAGGUUUUGAUGUUUCCCUUACACAAAAUAUUCAUAUUGGUCCUGCAUGAUGCGUGUGCGCAUGAUGGAUGGUCACGUACUACUGUACUUGCUAGGUAAUAAGCUUGUUUUGCUACUGAUUGAAUGGCGUCUCAGUUUGUACCUCACCGAGCUCGCCGCCUAAAAUUGCUACGGGAUAGGCACUGUUUGGUUGCACUAGACCUGCGGAGGGGUUUAUCUGGUUCUUAUGGUCUGCUGCAUGCCUGGAGGUGUCUCUGGCACAGCUGUGCCUCUUGAGGCGACCUCCUCUACCGCGGUGGUUGUGUGCGGCAUCAGCUACAACCUCUCCGGUACCAAAUUGGCAUCCGUUAUGCUGGCAUUGCACGCAUGGCGUUGGCCCUCUCCUUGAAGUUCAGUGCUGUACCAAUCGUCGUGCCAGUCUGGGUUUGAGAUUCUGAUAUCGAUGUGGAGCUGUGGGUUAAACUAAGGUUUAUUUGGACAGAACCGUGCGUGGGGGAGCCGUGUCUUGGCAUUUGUGUCACUUCCGAAGAUAAAGUUAGAGCUGUCGCUGUUCCGGCUUUUUUAUGGCAAUUCCUCUUCUGUCAAUAUUUCUCACGAAACUUCUAACGGAAGAUCUGGCCGCGUCUCUCUGUCCGGCCCAAAAAGAUUGUCCUUUGGCGGCUCCUCUUGGUCGCCUCCCGUGCUUAAACGCACGGAUCCGCCUCCUGGAUGGUGCUCCUGCGCCUGGUGAUCAUGGGGUGCAUGCGCCUCCUUUGGUGGCUUCCUCCAUCGCGUGACUGUGGCGGUUGUGCAGGGCAUCAGCCACAAACUAAUCUGGUUCCAUGUCAUGGAAUGGAUGGAUGAUGGUGAGCGACCACCAAUGGAUCUGGCCGAAUACAAUACGCCUUGCCGGUCUAGAGAGUCCUUGGAGAUCUUGCGAGGAGGUGGCCCAAUUGGUUGAAGGCAGGGGGGAACUCGCUUGACGUAUCUCAGCAAUCAACAGAUAGAACUUGUGCUGUCUACACAGGUUGAAAUACAAGGAGGCCUAGGCCAGCGAAUCUUGAAGAUAACAGAUAGGCGUUUUCGUGUUUUUCUUUUCCGUCGGGGAGUUGUGAAAAAGUGGAUGGAAUGGUGAUAUAUGUUGAAAGGUCUCGUCUCAGGGAGGGAUUGCUACUGCUACAUACAUAGUGUUGUAAAAUUUGGAUUGUAUUUUUGGUCAGUGCAUGUCAAGAGAUUGGACUGGUUGAAUGAAUCAAAUGGUUAACUCUCCAUGAAUGAGGGAAUGCACGAAUGCCAGCUCGUUCAUUCA